AGCAGCCGCGGUAAUUCCAGCUCCAAUAGCGUAUAUUAAAGUUGUUGCAGUUAAAAAGCUCGUAGUUGAAUUUCGGGAUUGACGUGAUGGUCAUGCCUUAAGGGGUAUGAACUGUCACUGUUGAUUUCUCACCUUCUGGAGAAACUUGAUGUCCUUUAUUGGGUGUCUUGCGGAUCCAGGACCUUUACCUUGAAAAAUUAGAGUGUUUAAAGCAGGCAUUUUUGCUCGAAUACAUUAGCAUGGAAUAAUAGAAUAGGACGGCAUGGUUCUAUUUUGUUGGUUUCUAGGAUCACCGUAAUGAUUAAUAGGGAUAGUUGGGGGCAUUAGUAUUCAAUUGUCAGAGGUGAAAUUCUUGGAUUUAUUGAAGACUAACUACUGCGAAAGCAUUUGCCAAGGAUGUUUUCAUUAAUCAAGAACGAAAGUUAGGGGAUCGAAGACGAUCAGAUACCG
rnacentral:rRNA from 1 species